AACGAACGCUGGCGGCAGGCUUAACACAUGCAAGUCGAACGCUCGUAGCAAUACGGGAGUGGCGGACGGGGUGAGUAACGCGUGGGAACGUGCCCUGAGGUACGGAAUAACUGAGGGAAACUUCAGCUAAUACCGUAUGAGCCCCGAGAGGGGAAAGAUUUAUCGCCUUGGGAGCGGCCCGCGUCGGAUUAGCUAGUUGGUGGGGUAACGGCCUACCAAGGCUUCGAUCCGUAGCUGGUCUGAGAGGACGAUCAGCCACACUGGGACUGAGACACGGCCCAGACUCCUACGGGAGGCAGCAGUGGGGAAUCUUGCGCAAUGGGGGCAACCCUGACGCAGCCAUGCCGCGUGAACGAUGAAGGCCUUAGGGUUGUAAAGUUCUUUUACCCGUGACGAUGAUGACGGUAACGGGGAAUAAGCUCCGGCUAACUUCGUGCCAGCAGCCGCGGUAAU
rnacentral:rRNA from 1 species